rnacentral:SRP_RNA from 2 species
GCCAGGCACAGUGGCCCAUGUCUGUGUUCUCAGCUACCCCAGAGGUUGAGGCAGAAGGAUCAUGUGAGUCCAGUUCUGGGCUGUAGUGCAUUGUGUGCAUUGGGUGUCUGUGCUAAAUUCAACAUCAACAUGGUGACUUCCUGGGAGCCGGGAACGAUCAGAUUGCCUAAAGAGUGGUGAACCAACCCAGGACAGAAAUUGAGCAGGUCAAAAUUCGUGCUGAUCAGUAGUUGAAUAGUGCCUAUGGAUAGCCACUGCACUCAAGCCUGAACUAUAUAGCAAGACCACGUCUCUA